CAUCAAAAAACACGCCGAAUUCGCUUUUCAAGUCGACAACAAAACACGUCUCAACAAAUACAGUUUAGUGGAGCUGUGGUUUGCUGGUGCAUAUGAUAUUUACUGCCAAGCCUGAGCCUGAAGAGGAUGAUUACUAUAAUAACCCCAUUACUUUCGGAGCUGGGAUUCCGAGCUAUCGAUUCUCGGGCAAGGUCAGCAGAUUCAUGCAGAGGUUGUAAUAAGAGCAUGCAGUUGCCUCUGUUAUUACUUCACGAAUUAGUAUGUAUUCGCGUUGUGGAUGCUUAGAAGAUGCUGUGAAAGUCUUGGAUGAAAGGGCAGUAUCGGAAGAUGAUGUUGUAUUGUGGAGUUUCGGUCGAUCGAUCGAUGAUUUCUGUGAGCUAUUCAACAAAAUGGAGAUUGAUGGAUUUAAGCCGAACGAAUAACUUUCUUGAGCGUAUAUAGUCUAUUCGUGUAAGUCACUGUGGAUUGAAAGAUAAAGAUCUCAGCUUUUCGAUUUGAUGGUGUAAAAAAUACGAAUUGAAACCUCAAGUAAAACACGAUACGUGUGUAGUUGAUGGUGCAA